CCAAGGCAAUAGUAAAGCGUGCCGGGGUAUAGAAACAUUACUCAUUGGUCUUUAUAACUUUGAAGUGGUUGUGAAAAUGGUAAACCAAAAGUUGUGUCAUUUAGGUUGCCUUCAUUGGCGCAGGCCUCUAUAUAUCAUGAGCCAUUAUCCCUUGGAUCUCAGUUCCUAACAGAAAGUGC